rnacentral:rRNA from 1 species
AUGUCCACAUGUGUACUACCUAAUGAGCUGGUGGUGGACAUCCUGUCUCGACUGCGGCUGAAGUCCCUGUGCCGCUUCAAAUGUGUCUGCAAGUCUUGGCUUGCCUUCUCAUCUCAUCCAUACUACCGACAAAAGUUCCCAAGAACUCCCACUGGUCUCUUGUACCAGAAAUUUGAGCGUGGCAGACUUGCCUCCUCUCUUGGUAGUGGCAUCCAUCUCGCCAGACUGCCCUCAACAACUCAAGAGUGGAUGGCACUUCCAGAUACUGAACCUGGACCAUCGGUCUUUUCAGCUAAUCUCAAGUUGUGUUUUGAUCCAUUAUGGUCUCAACACUUCUGUGUCUUCAAAUUUCAGUCGAGCGCGGUCCUGGGCCCUCAUAUAAUUGGAACCUCCACUGAAGUUAAGGUAUUUUUCUCUGAGGAUUCCACGUGGUCUAGUUGUCUUUGGUGGUCUAGUUGUCUUUGGGAAUAUGGAGAUGGAUUUGAAGGUGAUCCGCUCUUUGUAAAUGGGGUGUUGUACAUGAAGCACCUAUUGGCUCAUAAAAUUCUGGCGCUUGACGCACCUGAUAGAAGUACGAAGUGGCUCGAUCAUAGGAUCAUUCAGCUGCCAGGAUAUCCGAAUAGGUCCAAAAUGACUUUCUGUUCUAAUGGAUGUAUUGGCCAGUCUUCGGGUGUCUUAUGCUACGCGAAACAAGAAUUUGAUGGCUGCGCAAUACGGAUUUGGAGUUUGGAAGUCCCUGAUGGGUGGGCGGUGAGGCAUCGUGUAAGUAUGGUUGAUAUAUUUGGCAGAGACAUUUUUCUCCGCACUGACCGUGAAGGAUACUGGGUUUUCGAAUAUAAAAUCAUGGCCGUUGACCUAGAGAGGGAGCUGGUUAUCCUUGAGGACAAAAUUGGUGAUAAGAUCAUCUCAGCUAGCAUCAGUACUGGUAAACGCUCACAGUCCCAAAAGAUUCCAAGAAGCUUCACCCGAAAAUAUCGCAGCCUAUUCUAUGUGCCAUACUAUGGCAAAGUUCCAGCUUUAGCAGUUAAGGAACAUGAUGGAUACUCUGGGCAUGCACCUGUGUGUGGAACUACUUGGUCAGUUCAUCCUCCUGAUGCAUGCAGAUAUUCAGAAAUGAUGAUAAGAAGAGAUCCGCCUGCAGCAGCAUUGACAGCAUGGGUGAUGCCCAUGGGUGUUCAAGUUCAUCCUCCUGAUCCUGAACUUGUCAUGCUCGAGACGGUAUAUAAUUGA